GUGAACUUAUUAUUAUGGCCAUUGAUUAUUCAACACAUUAAUAGGCCACUCCUAUAAUACAUUGUAGGCCGCGGUCCAAGUUUUUUUUUUUACAGUGAAGGCCAAUAUUCACGCGCAAAAGAAUACUACUGAUAAGAACUGUUAAUCAUAUCUAUGCCAUAUCUAACUAUAUGGCAUAGAUUACAGAUAACAGAUAUCGGUAGUGGCCACAAAAGUUGGUGCCGCAGUGGAAGCGUUACCAAAUCGGAAUGUAUACAUUUUCUCAACACCUACCCGUAAAAUAUUGUGACAUAGAAAUUCGUAUAUUCGCAAAAAUAUGUAUGAAAACGAAAGAGAGGGACACAGUUCG